CCCAGCUAUUCGAAUACGGAUGCAACUAUUGACAUAGAAUUGCCAAGAAGGAGCUUGCUUGUGCAAUUUACUUGUAAUGAAUGUGGCGAAAGAACACAGAGGCUCAUAAACCGAUUAGCCUAUGAACGGGGGCUAGUUUAUGUUCAGUGUGCAGGAUGUGAGCGGUAUCACAAAUUAUACUCAAUUACGAGACCAAGGUUAUCAGCUAAUUU
rnacentral:misc_RNA from 1 species